rnacentral:tRNA from 1 species
GGGGGAGUGGCCAAGCGGCUAAGGCAGUCGGCUGCAACCCGGCGAUCGUGGGUUCGAGUCCCGCCUCCCCCU